ensembl:lincRNA
UGUUGUUGUAGUAUAGUGAGUAGACAUCGCGAGACAACAGGACGGGAGAGUAGAAGGCGGGACUAUAUGGUGUAAGGGCGUGAUCUGUGUAGUUAAUAAAAUAGUUAAAAUAAUAUAUGAACGGCUCUUUAUUAAGAUACACAACAUUUAUUGCGACGAGAGAUGAGUGCUUGACGAACGAGCAGAACACUGCAGAUUUAGUUCUCUUGCUGGAAGAAAUUAACUUUUGAAUUUUCGGACUGUUCGUUUAGCUUGCGCUGUGGAAGAUAUGGCCGCCGCGCCGAGAAGCUUUGCUUAUGACCAGCUCUCUCCACCGCUUCCACUGAACCUCGGAGCUCCGGAUUUGUAUACGGAAUACAAGAUAUGGAUGGAGUCGUACAUUUUUUUUAAAUCGCCAGUGGAUCUACAGAAGGUCCGGAUGCUUUGAGACGGGCUACAUUACUGCACUGUAUCGGGGCUCCCGUGCAGCGGAUUUUCGCCAACCUCCCUGGAGAAAAAGGGUCAGAGAUCAGUGCUCUCCCUGAUGCUGGGGAGAGGGCUCCUCUUGGACAGCAGCCCAGUGAGGAGGAGAGGGUCUACAGUCUGAUGCACGAGACAGAGCUCACUGGUGCAGAAGGGAAAGAGACAUUCAGCGCGCAGCACACAGAGAGCGGACAGAGUGUUGAGGAUCUAGACUCUGUGCCCAGGAUGAAGACCGAGCCUGAGAGCGAGACACCUGGGCUCUCAGUAUCUGAUGACUUUGCAGAGAAAUGUUUUAAUCUGGACAUGAAGGAUGUUGCAAAGCAACAUUUUAAUGAACAGAAAUCUGUGUUUGCACAAGAGCUCAAAAAAGAGGAAAUGGAUGUUUUAAACCUUGCAGAGCAGGACAUGCGUCCCCAGUUGAUUUAUACUAAAGAACAGAGAUGUGAUGUUGAUGGCGAAGAGGACAUUACUGAGUUACAGCACGCAGAGAGGGGCGCUGUGUCGUUUCCACAGUUUCCAGCAUCCUGGUAAGAUUACUGAGCGCAAUCAGUGUUCUUCUUGUUGCUGUUUUUCCCAGGAGGCUGGAGAAGACUUGGAGGACUGGAGGUAACGGGAUUCGCCGACAUGAGACAAGUAUAAAAUAACAAUCUGCUGUUCUCCUGAGAAAAUUCAUUAUGAAUGAUGUCUCAAUGACAGCAUUUAAGUAUUUAACACAAGUAAUGUCAGCGAUGAUGUCAAUAACUGUUUAUAACCCCCCCAGCAAAAACCCAUGAUAACAGCAGAACAAAAACCUUCCUAAAUUUGUGUUAUGGUGCCACUGUGGGACUGUAAAAAACAAAAGGUUUAAAAUACCUCAGAGGACAUGAAUAUACCCUCAGGUACAUGCCUAACAACGUCUUCCAAAUUUGGACAUGGAGGCACAUCACAAUAACCAGCACAAUGGAGUAGGGCAUAAUAAAUAUAAAAAUGAAGCAGUACUAAUUCAUCCACCUUCUAUCAGGGAGACACUUCUUGCUGUUAAAGGCUGCAUCAACCUGGAAACCAUCUCAACACUGGAAAAUCAAUGCUGGUACUUUACUGGGCAGGCAGGAAGUGUUGAGAUGCCAAUUAAACAGCUUACACACAGUUGAGGAGGAGGAGGGAGGGAGCACCAGCACCUGAUACAAUCCCAUGGGAGUAUGGGUAAGAGCAUGCAGACUCCAGACAAAAGGAUGUCAACAAAACAGGAGUGAACCAAGGGCAGUGUGCUGUCCUGUAGAUAGAUGACAAAAUUGCCAAACAGUUUGUUGUUCUUAGUUCAUGUUUUUCUGUUUUUUUACCUGGAUUCCUUACCUAGUUUUGGACUUUGCCUGUUUCUCAUCUUCAGCUUCUGGAUUGUAUUCUUCAUUCUUUUUUCUGGAUUAAUCUUUCUGGUUCUGGAUUUAGAUCAAGAAUUGACUUUGGGUAUCCCUCAAUUAUUUUCUUUUCGAUUGUUUGUGACAGUAGAACCCGCAUAAGGACUAUUUCAUGACUAACUGAGCUCAAGACCUGCCUUAUGUAAUAAUAAUACAGUGUGU